CGCCGGAACUGGGUAAUGUCCUAAUAUUGAUUCAAAUACUGAAUAUCGAUAGAAUAUUGAUUUGACUAUGAUAACUCCGAUAAUGUAAUGCACUCGCUUACUAUUUCCUUAUAUUCUCGCUUAUUAUUGCUAUCUUAUUGCUAUGUUCUCGCUACCACUAUUUCUAUAUGUAUAUAUAUAUGCUUGCAUGUACUCCACACAUCUUCUUCUUUCUUUUCUUCUUUUCUUCCUUAGCGAUUAGCUACUAUCUAUUAUUGUAUUACUACUAUUAUCCACACUAUAAACUAUCUUCUACUAUUCACUCUUCACACUGUUAUCACCCCUCACAGAUAAUUACAUGAUAAAAACGUAGUAUUUUAUAAGGGAAUGCUCGAUUAUACAAGCGAGGGAGGUGCGGAGCAAGCAAGGCAGUACUGACAAAGUAUCACAAAAUAUCUCCAACAUGCAUUCAGCAGUGAUAAAUAUCUCAUAACUUGAUACAAUCCUUCAUAAUGAGGUCUUUAUUAUUGGAGUCUAUGCACAAUAUAUAACUUCUUGAGAGUUAGACCCAUGAAUCUGACAUUAUGAAAAGUUAUAAUAAAUGAAAAAAAGCAGAGCAGAAUAAAGUCAUUUUCUUUAAAAUCUAACAGAUCACAGCAUUGAUCUUGAAGUUUAAACUACUUCUGUGGUGGUUUUGGGGGAGAAAUGCCUGGGACAAUUUUCCUCCAGAUUCUUAUAAGAAGCCAUAGCCGAGGGAGCCAAAUCUCUCUAGCCCUACUUGCACCAUGCUCUUGAAGAAUUUUCUUAAUAGCACAGAUGUCUGGACCACGUCCAGCCAGGUGCGCCCAGCCAAGUGGUCCAGUCCCUUUCACAUCCUUCAGAUUCACAUUGGCUCCCCUGUCAAUCAACAAUUUAACCACAGCAAGUGAGCCACUUUCUGCUGCCCAGCUCAAUGGUGAUCUUCCAAUGUAGUCAACACAAUCCAGCACAGCUCCAGAAUUAAGCAACAAUUCAACAGCAUCAACACGGCCCAUCAUAGCUGCGUGAGAUAGAGCAGUUCUUCCAGUGCUAUCCCUCUCUUUAAUAUUAUUCUCAUUUAUCAACUUAACUAUCUCUGUUAUAGAUUCUUUGUCAACAGCCAAUGAAAGUUGACCUCUUCUAUAUUGAUUUUCACUUCCGUUUCUGAAGAAAUCAUUAGCAUUCAAGUUGCUUUUAUAUUCAUAGAAUUAUACUAACCUCAUUAGACAGACUAUUCUUCAAUUCAACUUAAGUAAAAUAACAGUACUCAUUUAUAUUCAAAACAGAUAAAUGUUAAUUUAAAGU
rnacentral:sRNA from 2 species